CUCUAGGGUCAUACCACCCUGAAUGCCCAUAUCUCCUCUGAUCUCCGAAGCUAAGCAGGGUCGGGCCUGGUUAGUACUUGGAUGGGAGACCACCUGGGAAUGCUGGGUGCUGUAGGCU
rnacentral:rRNA from 1 species